rnacentral:rRNA from 1 species
AACCUGGUUGAUCUUGCCAGUAGUCAUAUGCUUGUCUCACAGAUUAAGCCAUGCAAGUGAAAGUACAUAUGUAAAUAAUAUAUUGAAACUGCGAACGGCUCAUUAAAACAGUUAUAAUCUACUUGAUGUUUUUAAUAUAAGGAUAACUACGGAAAAUCUGUAGCUAAUACUUGUGAAAAUACCUUUUGAUAUAUACAUAUGUAUGUAUCAUUAAGGUAUGUAUUUGUUAGAUAUAAGAAUAAAAUAAAUAUAAUUGAAUUAUAACAAAGAAGAAACACAUAAAAUAUGUGUAUUAUCAAUCGAGUAUCUGACCUAUCAGCUUUUGAUGUUAGGGUAUUGACCUAACAUGGCUAUGACGGGUAACGGGGAAUUAGAGUUCGAUUCCGGAGAGGGAGCCUGAGAAAUAGCUACCACAUCUAAGGAAGGCAGCAGGCGCGUAAAUUACCCAAUUCUAAAAAAGAGAGGUAGUGACAAGAAAUAACAAUACAAUAUCGAAAAAUGAUUUUGUAAUUGGAAUGAUAGGAAUUUACAAGGUUCCUAGAGAAACAAUUGGAGGGCAAGUCUGGUGCCAGCAGCCGCGGUAAUUCCAGCUCCAAUAGCAUAUAUUAAAAUUGUUGCAGUUAAAACGUUCGUAGUUGAAUAUUAAAGAAUCCGAUGUUUCAUUUAAACUGGUUUGGGAAAACCAAAUAUAUUAUAUAUUUUGCUUUGUUCAAAAUAAGGUUUUCUAAUAAAUUAUGUUUUUAUCAGAUAUGACAGAAUCUUUUUUAAAAUCUCUUCAAUAUGCUUUUAUUGCUUUUGAGAGGUUUUGUUACUUUGAGUAAAAUUAAGUGUUCAUAACAGACGGGUAGUCAUGAUUGAGUUCAUUGUGUUUGAAUACUACAGCAUGGAAUAACAAAUAUGAAUAAGCUAAUUAUUUUUUUUUUCAUAAUUUUUUUUGAUAUUCUUAUUAGCUUAGUUACGAUUAAUAGGAGUAGCUUUGGGGGCAUUCGUAUUCAGAUGUCAGAGGUGAAAUUCUAAGAUUUUCUGGAGACGGACUACUGCGAAAGCAUUUGCCUAAUCUAUUUCCAUUAAUCAAGAACGAAAGUUAAGGGAGUGAAGACGAUCAGAUACCGUCGUAAUCUUAACCAUAAACUAUACCGACUAGGUGUUGGAUGAAUAUAAAAAAUAUAUAAAUAUGUAGCAUUUCUUAGGGAAUGUUGAUUUUAUAUUAGAAUUGCUUCCUUCAGUACCUUAUGAGAAAUCAAAGUCUUUGGGUUCUGGGGCGAGUAUUCGCGCAAGCGAGAAAGUUAAAAGAAUUGACGGAAGGGCACCACCAGGCGUGGAGCUUGCGGCUUAAUUUGACUCAACACGGGAAAACUCACUAGUUUAAGACAAGAGUAGGAUUGACAGAUUAAUAGCUCUUUCUUGAUUUCUUGGAUGGUGAUGCAUGGCCGUUUUUAGUUCGUGAAUAUGAUUUGUCUGGUUAAUUCCGAUAACGAACGAGAUCUUAACCUGCUAAUUAGCGGUAAGUACACUAUAUUUUUAUUUGAAAUUGAAUAUAGGUAAUUAUACAUGUUUAUUCAGUGUUCAAAUUAGGAUAUUUUUUUAUUAAAAUAUUCUUUUCCCUGUUCUACUAUAAUAAUUUGUUUUUUUUACUCUAUUUCUCUCUUCUUUUAAGAAUGUACUUGUUUGAUUAAAUAAAGCUUCUUAGAGGAACAGUGUGUAUCUAACACAAGGAAGUUUAAGGCAACAACAGGUCUGUGAUGUCCUUAGAUAAACUAGGCUGCACGCGUGCUACAAUGAUAUAUAUAACAAGUUGUUAAAAAUGUACUUAUAAAUAAGUGUGUACAGUUUUUCCUGUACUGAAAAGUAUAGGUAAUCUUUAUCAGUAUAUAUCGUAAUUGGGAUAGAUUAUUGCAAUUAUUAAUCUUGAACGAGGAAUGCCUAGUAAGCAUGAUUCAUUAGAUUGUGCUGACUACGUCCCUGCCCUUUGUACACACCGCCCGUCGCUCCUACCGAUUGAAAGAUAUGAUGAAUUGUUUGGAUAUGAAUUAAAAUAAUGAAAUUUUAUAUUUCUGAUUUUUUCUAGAAGAACUGUAAAUCCUAUCUUUUAAAGGAAGGAGAAGUCGUAACAAGGUUUCCGUAGGUGAACCUGCGGAAGGAUCAUUA